CCCUUGUCCCCCAACCGCGGAAAUCCUCUCCACCUCAGCUCUUCGUCUUUCCCCCAAUUUCCUUCGAAAACGAGAGAAAAUCGUCGAAAAUCUGACAAUAUUGUCAGAUCUGCGGUUUAAUUGGCGAAAACUCGUUGAGGGCUAGGGUUACCACCGCUUUCCCUCGUUUUUUUACUCUUCGCACCAUGAUUGCUCUCAGAUGCUUGCGGGAGUUUUAUAAUGUUGAUUUCGUACUUGAUUUUUAUAUUUAUCAAGCCUCGGUUCCUCAAAAUCUUUCUUUUGCUCGAUCUUUGCGAAAAAGGCAACGCCUUUAUUGGGAAAUUUGGGUAUUUUUGCUGAGUUUUUGGCUGGAUCUUGCUAUAGAGGCAAUCUAAGAUUUCAUAAGAAUUUUUCGCUAAUUCAGUGGUUGUUGUGCAUAACUUACAAGUGAGGAUGUUACGCAUCUCUUUCUAGAGUGUCUAUACGUGUGUGGUGUUCGGAGUCGUGCAUUCGCACAGUUGAUGGUUGGACGUUGAUGAAAGCCGAAGACAAAGCGCUCUUUAUAGAGUAAACAUGAAUUACGUAUCGCUUCUGGGUGUAUUACUUUUGUGAGGCAAGAGAUGAAUAGGGAUUGUU